UUUACUGGACAUCGAAUGAUGAUGUUUACUGACACCAAAGAAAGCUCGACCAGACACUAAACAAUGACUGGGAAAAAACUCGACGUUUACUGGACAUCGAAUGAUGAUGUUUACUGACACCAAAGAAAACUCGACCAGACAUUAAACAAUGACUGGGAAAUACCGUUGCUCACAAUGCUGAACUCCUCGGAGUAUCGUAUUCACUAUCCGGCAAAACCAAU
rnacentral:lncRNA from 1 species